UUAUCCAGGAAUUUGACAAUGGAGACUGUCUUGCUUAGAUAUUUAUCUUUUACAAACCUAUCUAUUGUUACAGAAUUCCCAAUAUCCCUCAUCCAUCUCUUAGCUAUAACUGCUUUAAUCAUUGCAAUUAUCUGUUUUACUUCCAAAUCUAAUUCUGUUUACCUUGUUGAUUUUUCCUGUUAUCUACCUCCCGAUAGUUUGCAAGUUCCAAAUGCUAAUUUUAUUGAACACAGUGAAGCAUCUAAUAUCUUUGACCAAGAAAGUAUCAAUUUCCAAAUGAAAAUAUUGGAAAGAUCAGGUAUUGGAUUUGAGACUUGCAUGCCUAUUGCAGUUCAUGAGAUCCCACCAAAUUCUUCUUUUUACAAAGCUCAAGAGGAAACUGAAAUGGUUGUCCACAAUAGUCAAAGACCUUCUUUCCAAGCACAACAUAAAUCCUAAAAGCAUUGACAUUCUUGUAUCCAACUGUAGCCUUUUCUGCCCUAAACCAUCCCUUACAUCUAUGAUCAUAAACAAGUUUGGAUUCAGAAGCAAUGUAAAGAGUGUCAGCCUCAGGGGAAUGGAUUGCAGUGCUGGAAUGUUAUCAAUUAGUCUGGUUAAAGAUCUUCUAAAAGUUCACAAAAAUUCAGUAGCUUUAGUUCUCAGCAUGGAAGUUGUAACUCCCAAUGGUUAUAAUGGUAAAGUUAAGUCCAUGCAUAUGGCCAACAUUUUGUUUCGGAUGGGAGGAGCAGCUAUUUUACUUUCUAAUAGAAAGCAAGACAAGCACAAGGCUAAGUACAAACUUCAGAACCUUGUGAGAACACACUUGGGGUCUGAUGACCGAGCUUACCAGUCUGUUCACCAACAACCUGACGAAGCCGGGAAAGUUGGAAUGUCUCUAUCACAAGAACUUCUACAUGUGGCAGCAAAAGCAUUAAGGACAAACAUAUCAGAAUUAAGCCCACUUGUCUUGCCAUACUCCGAGCGACUCCAGUAUGGAUGGUCAGUGAUUAAGCAAAAAAUAUGGUUUUUAGCAGGCCAGAAGGGAACUUAUGUGCCAAAUUUCAAAGGCUUUCGAGCAUUUCUGUAUACAUGCUGGUGGAAAGGCAGUAAUUGAUGCCAUAGAGGACAAUCUCAGGCUACACAAGGAAGAUGCAGAAGCAUCAAGAAUGACAUUAUAUAGGUUUGGCAACACCUCAUCUUCAUCACUUUGGUAUGAGCUGAGCUAUCUGGAGGCAAAAGGAAGAGUGAAGAAGGGAGAUCGUGUUUGGCAAAUUUCCUUUGGAAGUGGCUUCAUGUGUAACAGUGCAGUUUGGAAAUGCAUAACAAAUGUGGACCCAAAUUUAAGAAAUUCAUGGUCAGACAGAAUCCAUUUGUAUCCUGUUGAGAUCCCAGAGGUGUGUGAUCAUUGACUAUCACCAAAGAUGCUAUGAAGAUCUCUUUAUGGAUUUUGAUGAAUUAACAUUCAGACCACGGAUAUUAUUCAAUGUGAAAUUAGUAGUUAACAGGGAAUGAUGGACUUAAUAUCAAAUCAUUUAUAGAGAGUCCAAACCCUAAUGCUAUAUACCCACGUCAAUUUCAGACGCAUUAAAGCAAGUUUUAUCUAAUUGCCUUCGUCAAUAACACCAAGGAAGACCAUUUUUAAGAUACACACUUAAUUUUUUUGAUAAGUAAGAUACACAAAGGUUAUUGUCCAGGACAAUAUGAGUUUUAAUUAGUUAUAGAAUCAAUUCAAUCUUUUUGUUUUAUAAAACUCAUGUACCUAGGGCAAUUCAUUCUUAUUCCUUGAGCUAUCCUCCUACAAGGGGCUCUCUCUCUCUCUCUCAAUAUACAUAUUGGUAAGUUACACAUGCAACCGAUGGAUCUUGAACCCAUGACCUCAGCCUCCUACAACUCAAAACAUAGUCUUCAAACAGUUAAAAAUAAUUUCCCCAAGCUGAGC